UGGGGAAUAUUGCACAAUGGGGGAAACCCUGAUGCAGCGACGCCGCGUGAGCGAAGAAGGUUUUCGAAUCGUAAAGCUCUGUCCUAUGAGAAGAUAAUGACGGUAUCAUAGGAGGAAGCCCCGGCUAAAUACGUGCCAGCAGCCGCGGUAAUACGUAUGGGGCGAGCGUUGUCCGGAAUUAUUGGGUGUAAAGGGUACGUAGGCGGUCUAUUAAGUCAGGUGUGAAAGCGUGAGGCUUAACCUCAUUAAGCACUUGAAACUGAUAGACUUGAGUGAAGGAGAGGAAAGUGGAAUUCCUAGUGUAGCGGUGAAAUGCGUAGAUAUUAGGAGGAAUACCGGUGGCGAAGGCGACUUUCUGGACUUUUACUGACGCUCAGGUACGAAAGCGUGGGGAGCAAACAGG
rnacentral:rRNA from 1 species